rnacentral:ncRNA from 1 species
AAUUUUAAAGUUUUAUUCUUGCUUGAAUAUUUAUUGUGAAUUAAUUUUAUAUGUAAGUUGUUGCAUUAUUUAUUAUUCUAAAAGGUUAAUAAUUUUAGUAGGGCAGUAUUAAGUAUUAUAAAUUGAAUUAAUUUUGAUUUAGUUAUUUUCAUUAAGUAUUGAUUAAAUAUGUGCCAGCAGUCGCGGUUAUACAUAAAAUAUAAAUAAAUAUAGUUAGUUAAAUUAGUUAUUGGGUUAGUAUAAAUUAUAUUAGUUAUUUUUAGGUGGAAUUUAAAUUGUUAUUGAGGUUUAAGAGUUAUAUAAGAAGCUAAGAAAUUUAAUUGAGUUAAACUAGGAUUAGAUACCCUAUUAUUUUAAAUUUUAAUUUUUAACUUGAGUAGUAGUAGUUAUGGUCUUGAAACUUAAAGAAUUUGGCGGUAUUUUAGUCUAUUUAGAGGAAUCUGUCCUAUAAUCGAUAAUCCGCGUUGGAUCUUACUUAAUUUUAUUUAAUAUGUAUACCGCUGUUUAUUGAAAAUCUUUUUAGGGAUUAAUUUUCAUUAAAAUUUACUUUUUUUUAUUUCAGGUCAAGGUGCAGUUUAUGAUUAAGUGGAGAUGGAUUACAAUAUUUAAAGGUAUAUGAAUUAUAAAUUUUGAAGUUUAUAUGAAGGUGGAUUUAAUAGUAAAUUUAUAUAGAUUAUUAUUUUGAUUUAUAGCUCUAAAAUGUGCACACAUCGCCCGUCGCUCUCGUUAUUUAAGGUGAGAUAAGUCGUAACAAAGUAGUUGUACCGGAAGGUGUAGCUAGAAUGAU